AUUGAACGCUGGCGGCAGGCCUAACACAUGCAAGUCGAGCGGAUGAGGGGAGCUUGCUCCUGGAUUCAGCGGCGGACGGGUGAGUAAUGCCUAGGAAUCUGCCUGGUAGUGGGGGAUAACGUCCGGAAACGGGCGCUAAUACCGCAUACGUCCUGAGGGAGAAAGUGGGGGAUCUUCGGACCUCACGCUAUCAGAUGAGCCUAGGUCGGAUUAGCUAGUUGGUGGGGUAAAGGCCUACCAAGGCGACGAUCCGUAACUGGUCUGAGAGGAUGAUCAGUCACACUGGAACUGAGACACGGUCCAGACUCCUACGGGAGGAAGCAGUGGGGAAUAUUGGACAAGGGGCGAAAGCCUGAUCCAGCCAUGCCGCGUGUGUGAAGAAGGUCUUCGGAUUGUAAAGCACUUUAAGUUGGGAGGAAGGGCAGUAAGUUAAUACCUUGCUGUUUUGACGUUACCAACAGAAUAAGCACCGGCUAACUUCGUG
rnacentral:rRNA from 1 species